rnacentral:rRNA from 1 species
UACAGAGGGGGCAAGCGUUGUUCGGAAUUACUGGGCGUAAAGGGCGCGUAGGUGGCCUUCUAAGUUGAACGUGAAAUCCCUGGGCUCAACCCAGGAACUGCGUCCAAGACUGGGAGGCUUGAAUCCGGGAGAGGGAUGCGGAAUUCCAGGUGUAGCGGUGAAAUGCGUAGAUAUCUGGAGGAACACCGGUGGCGAAAGCGGCUCACUGGACCGUGUCUGACGCUGAGGUGCGAAAGCUAGGGUAGCGAACGGG